rnacentral:rRNA from 1 species
GGGACACGUGGUAUCCUGUCUGAAUAUGGGGGGACCAUCCUCCAAGGCUAAAUACUCCUGACUGACCGAUAGUGAACCAGUACCGUGAGGGAAAGGCGAAAAGAACCCCGGCGAGGGGAGUGAAAAAGAACCUGAAACCGUGUACGUACAAGCAGUGGGAGCACGCUUAGGCGUGUGACUGCGUACCUUUUGUAUAAUGGGUCAGCGACUUAUAUUCUGUAGCAAGGUUAACCGAAUAGGGGAGCCGAAGGGAAACCGAGUCUUAACUGGGCGUUAAGUUGCAGGGUAUAGACCCGAAACCCGGUGAUCUAGCCAUGGGCAGGUUGAAGGUUGGGUAACACUAACUGGAGGACCGAACCGACUAAUGUUGAAAAAUUAGCGGAUGACUUGUGGCUGGGGGUGAAAGGCCAAUCAAACCGGGAGAUAGCUGGUUCUCCCCGAAAGCUAUUUAGGUAGCGCCUCGUGAAUUCAUCUCCGGGGGUAGAGCACUGUUUCGGCAAGGGGGUCAUCCCGACUUACCAACCCGAUGCAAACUGCGAAUACCGGAGAAUGUUAUCACGGGAGACACACGGCGGGUGCUAACGUCCGUCGUGAAGAGGGAAACAACCCAGACCGCCAGCUAAGGUCCCAAAGUCAUGGUUAAGUGGGAAACGAUGUGGGAAGGCCCAGACAGCCAGGAUGUUGGCUUAGAAGCAGCCAUCAUUUAAAGAAAGCGUAAUAGCUCACUGGUCGAGUCGGCCUGCGCGGAAGAUGUAACGGGGCUAAACCAUGCACCGAAGCUGCGGCAGCGACACUAUGUGUUGUUGGGUAGGGGAGCGUUCUGUAAGCCUGUGAAGGUGUGCUGUGAGGCAUGCUGGAGGUAUCAGAAGUGCGAAUGCUGACAUAAGUAACGAUAAAGCGGGUGAAAAGCCCGCUCGCCGGAAGACCAAGGGUUCCUGUCCAACGUUAAUCGGGGCAGGGUGAGUCGACCCCUAAGGCGAGGCCGAAAGGCGUAGUCGAUGGGAAACAGGUUAAUAUUCCUGUACUUGGUGUUACUGCGAAGGGGGGACGGAGAAGGCUAUGUUGGCCGGGCGACGGUUGUCCCGGUUUAAGCGUGUAGGCUGGUUUUCCAGGCAAAUCCGGAAAAUCAAGGCUGAGGCGUGAUGACGAGGCACUACGGUGCUGAAGCAACAAAUGCCCUGCUUCCAGGAAAAGCCUCUAAGCAUCAGGUAACAUCAAAUCGUACCCCAAACCGACACAGGUGGUCAGGUAGAGAAUACCAAGGCGCUUGAGAGAACUCGGGUGAAGGAACUAGGCAAAAUGGUGCCGUAACUUCGGGAGAAGGCACGCUGAUAUGUAGGUGAAGUCCCUCGCGGAUGGAGCUGAAAUCAGUCGAAGAUACCAGCUGGCUGCAACUGUUUAUUAAAAACACAGCACUGUGCAAACACGAAAGUGGACGUAUACGGUGUGACGCCUGCCCGGUGCCGGAAGGUUAAUUGAUGGGGUUAGCCGCAAGGCGAAGCUCUUGAUCGAAGCCCCGGUAAACGGCGGCCGUAACUAUAACGGUCCUAAGGUAGCGAAAUUCCUUGUCGGGUAAGUUCCGACCUGCACGAAUGGCGUAAUGAUGGCCAGGCUGUCUCCACCCGAGACUCAGUGAAAUUGAACUCGCUGUGAAGAUGCAGUGUACCCGCGGCAAGACGGAAAGACCCCGUGAACCUUUACUAUAGCUUGACACUGAACAUUGAGCCUUGAUGUGUAGGAUAGGUGGGAGGCUUAGAAGUGUGGACGCCAGUCUGCAUGGAGCCGACCUUGAAAUACCACCCUUUAAUGUUUGAUGUUCUAACGUUGACCCGUAAUCCGGGUUGCGGACAGUGUCUGGUGGGUAGUUUGACUGGGGCGGUCUCCUCCUAAAGAGUAACGGAGGAGCACGAAGGUUGGCUAAUCCUGGUCGGACAUCAGGAGGUUAGUGCAAUGGCAUAAGCCAGCUUGACUGCGAGCGUGACGGCGCGAGCAGGUGCGAAAGCAGGUCAUAGUGAUCCGGUGGUUCUGAAUGGAAGGGCCAUCGCUCAACGGAUAAAAGGUACUCCGGGGAUAACAGGCUGAUACCGCCCAAGAGUUCAUAUCGACGGCGGUGUUUGGCACCUCGAUGUCGGCUCAUCACAUCCUGGGGCUGAAGUAGGUCCCAAGGGUAUGGCUGUUCGCCAUUUAAAGUGGUACGCGAGCUGGGUUUAGAACGUCGUGAGACAGUUCGGUCCCUAUCUGCCGUGGGCGCUGGAGAACUGAGGGGGGCUGCUCCUAGUACGAGAGGACCGGAGUGGACGCAUCACUGGUGUUCGGGUUGUCAUGCCAAUGGCACUGCCCGGUAGCUAAAUGCGGAAGAGAUAAGUGCUGAAAGCAUCUAAGCACGAAACUUGCCCCGAGAUGAGUUCUCCC